UCAAUGGUAGUGCUGGCUGGGCUGCCGAAAGGCAGGCCGGUUCCCUUUGACGCCGGUAGUUCCAACCCAGUCAGUGCUACCGCCA
rnacentral:antisense_RNA from 1 species